rnacentral:lncRNA from 1 species
ACGCAGUCCUUCUCCUCCAUUUUCAAAAAUAGAUCAUUUGCCUUCUCCAGUUGUCCUUCUUCACAAAAUCCGUUGAUCAUGGCACUAUAGGUCACAACAUUCGGAACAAAGCCCUUCUCCUCCAUUUUCAAAAAUAGAUCAUUUGCCUUCUCCAGUUGUCCUUCUUCACAAAAUCCGUUGAUCAUGGCACUAUAGGUCACAACAUUCGGAACAAAGCCCUUCUCCUCCAUUUUCAAAAAUAGAUCAUUUGCCUUCUCCAAUUGUCCUNNNNNNNNNNUGAUCAUGGCACUAUAGGUCACAACAUUCGGAACAAAGCCCUUCUCCUCCAUUUUCAAAAAUAGAUCAUUUGCCUUCUCCAUUUGUCCUUCUUUACAAAAUCCGCUGAUCAUGGUAUUAUAGGUCGCAACAUCAGGAGCGCAGCCCCUUCUCCUCCAUUUUCAAAAAUAGAUCAUUUGCCUUCUCCAUUUGUCCUUCUUUACAAAAUCCGCUGAUCAUGGUAUUAUAGGUCGCAACAUCAGGAGCGCAGCCCCUUCUCCUCCAUUUUCAAAAAUAGAUCAUUUGCCUUCUCCAGUUGUCCUUCUUCACAAAAUCCGUUGAUCAUGGCACUAUAGGUCGCAACAUUUGGAGUGCAGCCCUUCUCUUCCAUCUCCAAAAAUAGAUCAUUUGCCUUCUCCGAUUGUCCUCCUUUCCAAAAUCUGCUGAUCAUAGUAAUAUAAGUCACAGCAUUUGGAACGCAGCCUUUCUCCGCCAUUUUCAAAAAUAGAUCAUUUGCCUUCUCCAGUUGUCCUUCUUCACAAAAUCCGUUGAUCAUGGCACUAUAGGUCACAACAUUCGGAGUGCAGCCUUUCUCUUCCAUCUCCAAAAAUAGAUCAUUUGCCUUCUAGGCACUAUAGGUCACAACAUCUGGAAUGCAGCCUUUCUCCGCCAUUUUCAAAAAUAGAUCAUUUGCCUUCUCCAAUUGUCCUCCAUUACAAAAUCCACUGAUCAUGGCACUAUAGGUC